ensembl:lncRNA
CUCAGGACUGAGGCACCGUGGAUCUAUAGGAACGAGGAACCCACGCACGCAUUCACGUGACCCAGACCACCCACAAAGAUCUCAACGGAAAGCUUCGGAACUUUACAUUGAGGUCACCCAGGUUCUGCCUCAAUCACCAGCAAAAUGGCUGCCAUGGCGUCAUGGCAACCGUCGGGGCAAAGAGAUUAUUUAUCAGUUAGGAACGCAGCGUUGAGCGUUUCCAUGCCAACGGAGGAACGGACUCCGAGGAACCCGGUGGGUUCUCUGGAUCCGUCGGGUUCCGACGCUGGACUCCCUCGAGACACCAGGUUCUGAGGACACAUGGUCACCAUGACGACCGUCUAGGCGUUGUUCCGUUGCCAGGACAACCCGCCGAAGACUCGGGUGAUGAUGUCAUCGGGGGAAGAGAUAUACUGACAGCUGACAGCACUGCAUUCAUGAACUACAAAUCAUAUCGGUUCUGUGACGUUUGUCUCCGGAAAAACACAGGUUUUUAGGACGGAAGUCGUGAGUUAUGAUGUAAAUAUUGUUGUUUCCGUCUCGAGUUGAUGAGGUCAUCGUGUUGAUGAGGUCACGUUUCAUCAGUUCAUCGGAUGUUUUGUUUUUAUUUGUUUUCUUCAGGGGAAGAGAAAAUAAUUGAAUCGUUCACCUCCGAUAACGGACGAUCUCGAAUCUGGAGUUGAAUUUCCGAAGUGUUUUCCCGAAAUGUCGCAUAUGUCAACGAAACACACUGAAAUGUAACCCUGUUCAAAUAAAGCCGUUCAGCAGUGAUAUGGGGUCCCACGACGGCGUGAGUUUUGUCCGAUAGAUUUCCACUCAUGUUCCGACUCUUAAUUGUUCAUUCUGAAUGAUGUUUCUAGUUCACCAGUUUUCCUGUUGAUUCUGUGCAAUGAUUGAUUGGGAAAACUAACGGUGCCGUUAAACUCCAUCAAGUACUUCUGUGAUAUAAACACCUGCAUCAGAACACCGUUCUCAAAGGUGAUUGGUCCUGAGUUCUACCGCUCCAGCACUUAACCAAUCGGUGUGCUGAACUUUAAACUGAACUCCAAUGAGGUGUGUGUG